rnacentral:rRNA from 1 species
GUCCACGCCCUAAACGAUGCUCACUAGGUGUUGGGGAAGCGAUUCCUUGGUACCGUAGCUAACGCGUGAAGUGAGCCGCCUGGGGAGUACGGCCGCAAGGUUAAAACUCAAAGGAAUUGACGGGGACCCGCACAAGCGGUGGAUGAUGUGGAUUAAUUCGAUGCAACGCGAACAACCUUACCUACCCUUGACAUGUCUGGAAGCCUGCUGAAAAGGCGGGUGUGCUCGAAAGAGAACCGGAACACAGGUGCUGCAUGGCUGUCGU